GGGGAAUAUUGGACAAUGGGCGCAAGCCUGAUCCAGCCAUGCCGCGUGGGUGAAGAAGGCCUUCGGGUUGUAAAGCCCUUUUGUUGGGAAAGAAAAGCAGCCGGCCAAUACCCGGUUGUUCUGACGGUACCCAAAGAAUAAGCACCGGCUAACUUCGUGCCAGCAGCCGCGGUAAUACGAAGGGUGCAAGCGUUACUCGGAAUUACUGGGCGUAAAGCGCGCGCAGGUGGUUUCUUAAGUCUGAUGUGAAAGCCCACGGCUUAACCGUGGAGGGUCAUUGGAAACUGGGAGACUUGAGUGCAGAAGAGGAAAGUGGAAUUCCAAGUGUAGCGGUGAAAUGCGUAGAGAUUUGGAGGAACACCAGUGGCGAAGGCGACUUUCUGGUCUGCAACUGACGCUGAGGCGCGAAAGCAUGGGGAGCAAACA
rnacentral:rRNA from 1 species